rnacentral:lncRNA from 1 species
UCCUGGAGUAGAUGGAAUCUAAGUGCAGCUAAGAAAACUGAAAUUACAGCAUGCUUUUAGCUGUUCACCGAUGCGGUUUGUGAGGAAAGGCCGUGUGAGGACAUAGAGGGAAGGCGGUUGUCCACAAGCCUGGAAGACAGACCACACCAGAAACCAGCCCUGAUGGCGCCUUGAUCUUGGACUUUCAGCCUCCAGAACUGCUCUCCCUCCCGAUUCCCUGCCCUGCACUGGCUGAAUUUGGACCCCAGAGCUGCCUUUCGAAGUCUUCAUUCCCAACAAGCGUUCACGAAUUUCGUUGUCCUACCUGAAGGUUCAGGGAUCAUUGGCAGAAGACUGGGGGAUCAUGGAGAGGUGAGGCCCCUCCUUGGAAUUUUCUCUCUUGCUUCUCUAUUCUCUUUUCUCCUCACCUUUCCUUCCACAAUUCCCUGAGAACUCUUCUCCCUUCAGUACAUAGAAGAAUUCGGCUAGGUUCCAAGUCUCAAACUUGCAGAACCCUAGUUAAUAAUAUGCUCGCAGAACAAAAAGCUUUCCUUUU